rnacentral:pre_miRNA from 1 species
UCGACCUGUGACACUCAAACUGUGGGGGCACUUUCUGGUCUACAACGAAAGUGCCGCCACUUUUUGAGUGUUAUCGAUCGA